rnacentral:rRNA from 1 species
GAUGAACGCUAGCGGCAGGCCUAACACAUGCAAGUCGAGGGGUAUCCCGCUUUCGGGCGGGAGAGACCGGCGCACGGGUGCGUAACGCGUAUGCAACCUACCCUGUACUGAGGGAUAGCCCGGAGAAAUUCGGAUUAACACCUCAUAGUACUAAUGAAUGGCAUCAUUUAUUAGUUAAAGGUUACGGUACAGGAUGGGCAUGCGUCCUAUUAGCUAGAUGGUAAGGUAACGGCUUACCAUGGCUACGAUAGGUAGGGGGCCUGAGAGGGUGGUCCCCCACACUGGUACUGAGACACGGACCAGACUCCUACGGGAGGCAGCAGUGAGGAAUAUUGGUCAAUGGGCGCAAGCCUGAACCAGCCAUGCCGCGUGCAGGAAGACGGUCCUAUGGAUUGUAAACUGCUUUUAUUUGGGAAUAAACCUCUUUACGUGUAGAGAGCUGAAGGUACCAAAUGAAUAAGCACCGGCUAACUCCGUGCCAGCCGCCGCGGUAA